UUUAAGUGUAGCUAUAAGUUUCCAUGUUCAACUUUGAUCGUUCAUUUUAUUUAAUUUUUUCAUAAUUAAUAUUUUUAUUGUUAUUAGAUGAUAAAACAUAAAUAAUUUGACUAAACAUUUUUAAAUAAGACGAUUAAGUUGAACAUAGAAAUUUAUAAUUGCACUUAAA
rfam:Oryza glaberrima chromosome 5 Oglab05_0128_22, whole genome shotgun sequence.